rnacentral:lncRNA from 1 species
CGGCGGGGUCUUGCGCGGGAGAACCCGGCCACUGCGGGUGGAGACCGGGCGGGCGGUGGGGCGGGGACGCAGGAAGGGCGAAGACCCGGCCCCAGCCUCGCUCCGCCGCAGGCUCCUCCCCGUCGCCGUGGCCGCCGCGCCCCCCGGCGGACGGAGCGGUGGCUGCACCUCUCCCCGCGGAGCGGCGUCCCCGCUGCCGAAAAAACCCAGAGGUGGUCGGGGCGCCCGGUCGGGAUCCUCACCCCUCUCCACGAGCCUGACCACUCGGCCUGCUCACACCUCCGCAUCCGCAAGGGAAUAUUAACAUUGCAGCAAACAGUGGAAUUGGUAGAAUGAGGUCCCCACGCCUGGGGCUUCGGCAGAGCCCGCAACCCCCGCCACUCGGCCGGUGCGGAAGGCGGCAGAGCCCUCCGGCCUUGACGCCGACCACCGACCGACCCUGGUAAACGCUAGGUCGGGGUACGGGUUCUGCACGCUCCUCCUUCCUGACUCAGCUCCCUUCCCACUCGAGACUGAGAUUCAUUCGAAAAACUUCCCCGAGCUCGCAAAGUCUAAGCCCCUCCUCGGGCUUCGUUUAGGUGUGGGGGCGGGGCCACGGCAGCCGGGGAGGGAGAGCCGACCGGCCGAGGGGAUCCCCUCCAGCGUCUCCGGAGCCCCGCCGGCAGGGGAACGCGGCUGGACUGGGCUUUGCUGCGGCCGGGAGCCUAGGGCGGGGCGGAGGGCCGGACCGUGCUGCUCUCCCACGGCCCCAGUGACCCGGUCACGGCCUCGGCUCAACCGGACUUCAGCCUUUCCAAGGACCUAAGGAGGGUGCCGCCGGCCGCGACCCUCGGGGGGAUGUGGAGGAGUCCGCUGACCGCAAGUGCUCCCAUCACUUCCCGGCGCUGGGGGAUCGCGGGCCGCUUCUCUGUCCGCCGCGCAUGGGAGGCGGAGCUGGAGGGCCUGGGAGGGGCGGGGCGUGGGCGGGGCCUGGGACGGGGUGGGCGGGGCCCGGGUGGGGCCGGAGCGGGCGGGGCGGGGCCUUGUGCUCCUAGAGUGGCGAGGUUGCCGGGUUCGCCCCCGGACCCGGUAUAUUGCGCGCUGCGAGUUGCCGGCUUCAAGUGCUCUGCGCUCACCCGGGCCGAUCGCGGAGGACGUCCCGGUCCAGCCGAGCGGGGUGGGAGUCCGCGUGGGCCACGACGGCGGGGAGGCGGCCUUUCGCGCCUGCUUCCGGGCAGGGCCGCCCUUCCCUUCUUUGGCUCCUGUUUCCGGACGCCAAGGUCGCCACCCUACAGCCGGGCGUUUGGUGCGGGCUGCUGCGCCCGUGUCCGUCCUCUUGGUCCCAACAUGCGGAGCCGGAAAGAAAGGCUUGGAUGCGCGGGAGGCUGUGCUAAGAGCUGA